ensembl:lncRNA
GUGUUGAGAUGACAGACAAAUCCACAGGUGAGCAGCGGCAUUUAAUCAUUUUCAGUAGCGCUCAUCCACUGAUCAAAUGAACACCACAGCAGCUGCCCAGUCAGUCAGUGACAGUUUUGUAUGACGGCGCCUCCUAAAGGUGUGGACACAUACCAUUGUUCUGUGAAUUUUCACAGAUGCUGUUCAGUAGAAUACACACAGUCUGAUUUUCACGAGGGUAAACUAUUUCUCCACGCAGUUUCUGCAGCGCACAUGGCUGUUUAUGUAUUUAUUUUCUAGUGAUUCUGAAGGCCAUGAUCAGCUGGUUCAAGUGUGUUUGAUUGAUUGUUGUAGCUCACCUCUGCAAGACAACGGGUCUCCAGGAGCAAGGUUAAAGACCUCGGACAGGGGUGUCCAAUCCUGCUCUUGGAUCUUGCAGACUUUAGCUCCAUCCGUCUCCAGCACACUUGAAUGGAAGUUUCUAGCACAUUCUGAAGACCUGGGCUGUGUUGCCCCCAUCCCCUUAUUUAGGGCACUAUUUGAGAGAACAGCCAUUUGAAGUGUUGUCCGAAAAUACUCAUUCAAUACCAUAAUGCACCUCGGUAAUGAGUCUACAACCGAUGAACUCUCAGCGGCUAGAGAAUACCCAUAAUGCACUGUAAGGGUCAUGCUGAAUGAACUCCCAUGUCUCGUCAGAAGAUGGCGCCUGCAGUUGAAUCAUCAGUCCAUUCUUUUUCCAAACCGCUGGUCCAAUGUGGUUACAGAGUACUAUCAUACAGUUGAGCUACAACCUACAAUGGUCCUGUCGGAGAACCAACAAACAGACAACGAAGACAAGACACCGGGCAACAAGUCAGCGUGCCAGAAGUGUGGCAUCUUCUUUACCACCACAUCAAAUUUGAGACGGCAUGAGAGACUACAGCACGGCCAAGACCAGCAGCCCAUGUUAUGCGUAGAUGCCAAAAAUGCAAUCUAUGUUACACCCAAGGAUCUGCACGGACCUAGAGUGCCCAUUCAUAUCCGUAAAUCCUUCACCUUGCAGAUUCUGCUGUGUGAACUGGAGGAAUGCUGGGAUUUCAUGAAAGCGCUGGCCCAGAGCGGGAAUCCUGGGAAGGAAUGCCGUCACCUCGUGAGAACGAAUCACGCGCAGCACUACGUCCCUCCUCCACCGCUGAGCAUCAGCUCUCUGGAGGAGAUGAGCCACAAACACCUCCUGUCCGCAUCUGAGAAACACGCGUGCCAGGAGAUGAACUCCAGGGCAUGUUUAGAGGGAGUCGAUUGUGUCUACCCUAUUUUUUGGGGGAAGCAUGACCUUUCAGAGAGAUGUGUCUACUUUUCUGUGUACACUGACCUCAAGGACAAAUGGUGUCAGUUUGGGAGGACACGCGUCUCGUUUGACACCAAGUCUGGCAGCUGGAAGUGUCUGUGUGAACACAAAAGAAUCCCUUGCAUCCACAAGCGUUUAUCUAUGUGGUGGUUGUUUCAGGAGCAUCCCAAAUUGUUGCAGAACCCCCUGGAUGUCCACGCUGAAAGAGUCGACGUGCUUGAGGAAGUGGUCAUGGAUAAAAUGUCUCCUGAUGGUGAUGACCUCUGCUAGCCUCAACAUCCCUCUCAUGUUCUGUCUUCACCCAAUAAAAACACUUGCCAUACACUUGAUUUUGCCUUG